rnacentral:rRNA from 1 species
GACGAACGCUGGCGGCGUGCUUAACACAUGCAAGUCGAACGGAAAGGCCUGCUUUCCCUUGUGGAUUGCGGGUACUCGAGUGGCGAACGGGUGAGUAACACGUGAGUGAUCUGCCCCCAACUUGGGUAUAAGCCUGGGAAGCUGGGUCUAAUUCCCGAUAGGACUGCAGGGUGGUGCCUGUGGUGGAAAACGAUUUUCUAGUGGUUGGGGAUGAGCUCGCGGCCUAUCAGCUUGUUGGUGGGGUAAUGGCCUACCAAGGCGGCGACGGGUAGCCGGCCUGAGAGGGUGGACGGCCACAUUGGGACUGAGAUACGGCCCAGACUCCUACGGGAGGCAGCAGUGGGGAAUAUUGCACAAUGGGCGGAAGCCUGAUGCAGCGACGCCGCGGGGGGGAUGACGGCCUUCGGGUUGUAAACUCCUUUCGACCGCGAGGAAGCCACCUGGUUGGAAGGGUGGUGACGGUAGUGGUAGAAGAAGCACCGGCUAACUACGUG